UACAGAGGGUGCUAGCGUUGUUCGGAAUCAUUGGGCGUAAAGGGCGUGUAGGCGGUUUGUUAAGUCAUGUGUGAAAUCCCUCGGCUCAACCGGGGAACGACGCAUGAAACUGGCAAGCUAGAGUACCAAAGAGGGGGGUGGAAUUUCCGGUGUAGCGGUGAAAUGCGUAGAUAUCGGAAGGAACACCAGUGGCGAAAGCGGCUUCCUGGUCCAGCACCGACGUUCAGGCACGAAAGCGUGGGGAGCAAACAGG
rnacentral:rRNA from 1 species